AACGUAGGUGGCAAGCGUUAUCCGGAUUUACUGGGCGUAAAGGGUGUGCAGGCGGGGUAGCAAGUGGGGUAUGAAAUCUCCAGGCUUAACCUGGAGGGGUUAUGCCAGACUGCUGCUCUAGAGGACGAGAGAGGGGGGUGGAAUUCCGGGUGUAGUGGUGAAAUGCGUAGAGAUCCGGAGGAACCCCAGAGGCGAAGGCGGCCCCCUGGCUCGUACCUGACGCUCAGCCACGAAAGCAUGGGGAGCGAACGGG
rnacentral:rRNA from 1 species